rnacentral:rRNA from 1 species
AUGAAGGGGAGCGGCUUGGUGUUCAUGGUUACUCUUUUGUCCAUCGGCUACCUUGCAGUGACCGGACGGUGUGACCUCGGGGAUGAAAGGAGCGCCAGUGCAAGUGCUAAUGCUCCUGCAUUACACUCGUCAUCAGAUGAGAGCAAGCUUAGCGUGAGAUUUUGUCUGGUUAGGGAUUGUAAAACCAAAGCUGAGACCUGGACUGAGGCAUGCUACUGCUGCCUUGUGCUGUCCGAUAUGCCAUGUUGGCAUAAGCUAUACGAGUGUCAAGCAAACUGCCCGGCGUGCCACCCCAAGUGCUAG